UUUUUCUCCAAGGGUUAAAAGGGAAGCGGGUGUGAUUCCCGCACGAUCUCGUCACUGUGAUAAGGGAGUGAAGGCGCAGGGAUCUUGCAUAAGCAAUGAUCAGUCACUGAUCCGAUGGAUUGGGAAGGCGGCGUCCUCAUGAGGAUCUUUCAGCCAGGAAACCUGCCAGUUAUAAU
rnacentral:ncRNA from 1 species